UUGGGCUUGCACUCCUGCCAGGUCUUCCCCAUCUGGCUUCCUUGGAUUGAUGUCAAUAUGAGAUCUUCUUGCUCCUAAUCCUUCAGGUGGUCCCCAGCCAAAUCAGAGCCAGCGAGAACAAACAUCAGCCUGGGAAGACCCAGUCCCUGCAGGGAAAUCACAGCCCACAGAAGGAAACCAAAUGCACAGUGGCUUCGAAAGGCAUCCAUUAAAGUGUGUGCUGAAGUGA